CCUACGGGUGGCAGCAGUGAGGAAUAUUGGUCAAUGGGCGCGAGCCUGAACCAGCCAAGUAGCGUGAAGGAUGACUGCCCUACGGGUUGUAAACUUCUUUUAUAAAGGAACAAAGUGAGGCACGUGUGCCUUUUUGUAUGUACUUUAUGAAAAAGGAUCGGCUAACUCCGUGCCAGCAGCCGCGGUAAUACGGAGGAUACGAGCGUUAUCCGGAUUUAUUGGGUUUAAAGGGAGCGUAGAUGGGUUGUUAAGUCAGUUGGGAAAGUUUGCGGCUCAACCGUGAAAUUGCAAUUGAUACUGGCAGUCUUGAGUACAGGUGAGGUAGGCGGAAGGCGUGGUGUAGCGGUGAAAUGCUUAGAUAUCACGAAGAACUCCGAUUGCGAAGGCAGCUUACUAAACUGCCACUGACAUUGAUGCACGAAAGUGUGGGUAUCAAACAGGAUUAGAUACCCUGGUAGUC
rnacentral:rRNA from 1 species